AAAGGCAUAACGGCGGAAGAUGACUAUUUUAAUAACCUUUGAGAUUUCGUCAAGAAACCGUUGUCUUUAAUACCCACCAGACAGAAACAGUGUUCAUUGCCGUACGGAAAAAGUGGAAAGUUUAAAAUAUAGUUAAAUUGUAAACACAACGUUUAUUUUAUUGAUUGUGUGUUGCUUAUACAUAUGUAUUUUGUGCGUGCAAAACAAUAUAUCGCCAAGUUCAAAGCUAACCACAACCAAGGCGAAGAAAAUACUGGCUCCUCCAAGUAUUGGCCUGGGGGGAAGUCGGUUAACGUUUUAUGCCAUAACCUUUGAUGCCGAAAUUGCUAAGUUUAAUGCCAUGAAUUGUUGAUGCCAAAAUACAGUCCGAAAUUGCUAAUACUGUGGUGAAACCAGCCGUAUCGUGUUAGAAACCGAAGUGCCAAGGGAGCAUUCUAAUAUGUGGUGAUGAAACGGCGAUUUUUAUUACCUAAAAUGAGACGAAAUUAAAUAACCUAUAAGUAUAUGGCUAUAAGGUAAAAUAAUUAUUAAAUACAUAUCUACCAUAAAGUAAUGCCUAAAAUAUUAGAUGAAGUGCGAUUCUUAAUCUAAAGACAAAAAAAAAAUACCUAAAUUAUUUAUGUCGUUAUCUUAAGUUGUGAUUAUUUGUAGUUAAUGUGCUAGUUGUAAGUUCAAGUUAAUUUUUCUAUUUUAUUGUGAGGAUUUUUUAACGCCAGGAAUUGAGUGAGUGAGGUAAGGUUAUUAAAGUAUACGAAGGGAAGAAUGAUAGUGGUUUAGAUUUCAUGUAUGGACUAAAUGAUGAGGUCCAUUAAAACCAACUAACCGAGCUCGUUUAGGAAGGAGUAAAUAUCAGCAAAUUAGUCAGAUUUGGCAAUUAAAGCAAACCCCCUUUUCGUAUGUGAUUGGUAGUCGAAAUUAGUGUCUCACGUUAAGAAUAACAGCAGGUGUUAAGAUUUCCGUAAGCGUCUUCUUUAAAUAUGUUUAACGUUUAGGAUUAAGUCCAUUAACAAUAAAAAUAAAUAUUUUAUGUUUGAUUGUUUAGUAUAAUAUGAA